rnacentral:rRNA from 1 species
CCGGGGGCUCUGGCAUACCCUAGUACGGCGAGUGAGCGGGAAGAGCUCAAAUUUGAAAUCUGGUGGCCUCAGGUCAUCCGAGUUGUAAUCUAUAGAAGUGUUUUCCGUGCUGGCUCAUGUACAAGUCCCUUGGAACAGGGCGUCAUAGAGGGUGAGAAUCCCGUCCUUGACAUGAACUACCAGUGCUCUGUGAUACAUUUUCAACGAGUCGAGUUGUUUGGGAAUGCAGCUCAAAAUGGGUGGUAAAUUCCAUCUAAAGCUAAAUAUUGGCGAGAGACCGAUAGCGAACAAGUACCGUGAGGGAAAGAUGAAAAGCACUUUGGAAAGAGAGUUAAACAGUAUGUGAAAUUGUUGAAAGGGAAACGAUUGAAGUCAGUCGUGCUCUUUGGAUUCAGCCGGUUCUGCCGGUGUACUUCCUUUGAGUGGGGUCAACAUCAGUUUUGAUCGCUGGAUAAAGGCUGGAGGAACGUAGUACCCUCGGGUAAACUUAUAGCCUCCUGUCACAUACAGUGGUUGGGACUGAGGAACGCAGCACGCCUUUAUGGCCGGGAUUCGUCCACGUACGUGCUUAGGAUGUUGACAUAAUGGCUUUAAACGACCCGUCUUAACA